rnacentral:misc_RNA from 1 species
AACACUGUUAACCUGCGGUACCUGCGGAGGGAUCAUUACCGAGUGGCACGAAUUCCGGUCGUUUGAGACUGGGAGGCUACCCGACCUUUUGUCAUAUUCUGUCGACCGGGGAAGCUUCGAAUUUGGGUUCGAGGAUGCCGGACGAGCCAAAACUUCGGCGGAAGAGGUAGGCAUGGACCUGCCCGCCGCCGGCCGCAGAACAGCACACAUUCUUGAAAGGCAAACUGAAGUCUAAGCGCC